AAAACAUUUAUGGUUUUAAAAGGUAAAAUUUCGGACUGGAUCGAGACUGUGAAUAGUAGUUACUAACCAAAAAUAACUUCUAAAAUUUACAAAACUUCAAAAUUUCAGAUUUAAUAAGGGUAUUUUUUUGUAAACCCUAACUACUCUUUUAUAAACCCAAAGCGACGAAUAAUAUGUAUUAGUAUAGGUUUAUAAAAUCUAAACCUUAACCAUUGUUUUAUAAACUCAAACCAAAAAAUAAUUGCCUUUAAUUUAUAAAAUCCAAACCCUUAUAUAUCUUCCUUUAUAAACUCAAACCAUUAAAAAAAUUAUUGUGAAUUUUAACCCAAACCCUAACCACUCUUUUAGAAACCAAAAUCAACAUAUAAAAAUAUAUAAUUAUAAAAUAUGAACUAUAAUCCUCAUUUGUAAACCCAAAACGACAUAUAAUUUUGUUUAAUUGCAAAAUGUAAACCCUAAUCAUUUUUUAUAAACUCAAAUCGACAUAUAAUCCUUAAUUAAAAAUCUACUGAUUUCGUUUUCUUAAUUUGCUUUGUUUUUCAUAUUUUAAUUUAUAUUUCUUCAAUAUAAUAAUAUAUUUAAUAUUGGCUAAUAAUCACACCUUUGAUUGGCUAAUUACCGAUUUUAUUCACCUUCUCUUAAUUAGCCAAUCAGGAAUAAGAGGAGUCCACCCCAAGAAUUUAUUUAACUAACAUUCUCAUCAAUUUUGAUCAAGGAAUAAUAAAAUUCAUUCAGUUGUGCUUAAAUUUUCCAAUUUUUUUUUGUUUUCACAUAAAUUACAUGCAUUAAAAUAUUUCAAUUAAAAUAUAUAAACCUAUACUAAUACAUAUUCUCAUCUCGUAUUCAAAAAAUUAUUUUAUAAGGUCAUUAUUUUUUUCAAGUUUUUAUGUUUUUACAUACAAUCAUACAAUGGAAAAUUUACUAAAUAUAUAUAUAUUUUUUUGUAAAUAAUUCUUUUCGAUUUAGGGUAGGAAUAGAUAAAAACGUCAAAUUAUAUGUAGAUACAAUUUUUCGUAAUUAGUUUUUUACUACAUUAGAAAAAAAUAAAUAUAUUUUUUACGCAUGUCCGCAGUUUUGGAACCCUAGUUUGCUUAGAUGCUUAAAUGAAUUGAUCUGGUCACAUAUUUCAUCAAAGUGCAUUUAUUGUUUCAGUCAAAGGUCUUAGGAGAACUCUACAGUUAAGCGUGCUUAUGCCGGAGCAGUCAAAUGAUGGGUGACCUUCUAUGAAGUGGUUGUCGGAACUGUGUGAGUGAGACCAAAAUACAGGAAAAGAUCAUGUGGUGAUUUGUAGGAUCGGUAAACAAGUAUUUAAGCCUCCUGGGCGUAGCAAAUCGAUCGUCGGA
rnacentral:lncRNA from 1 species